rnacentral:lncRNA from 1 species
AUGCUAUGUGUAAAAUUUAUGUGACACAUAAACAUUGAAAUUUUAAUUAUUGAUCAACAUUUAUUUUACCAAAAUUUCGAUGUCUACAAAUGCCCCCACUUCAAGGCGCGUCGUAUACAUGUGCUUGUCACGUGUAGAAGAUGCGUUUCGAAGUCCCUUACUGCAGAUGUUGAUCCAAGGGCCGUUGAGGCUUGAUCUUGAACUGGGUUGGUGAUUUCUUCAAGGGCCGUUGGGGCUUGAUCUUGAACUUUGUUUGAAAUUUCUUCAAAGACCGUUGAGGCUUGAUCUUGAAGGUUGAAAUUGGACCACAAAGAGCUUCAUGUGGUAGAUGAUCUUUUGCUUUGGUAGUGGGUGAAUCGGUACGUAUUUUGUUGCGCUUGUUGACUUUCCAUAGCUUUGAUCUUGAACUGUUUGGGAGGAUUUUAUGGUUUCCUCCAAUUGUUGACUUUCCACAGGCUUAUUCUUGAACUGGGUUGGAGGGUUUUUUGGUUUCCUCCAAGGGACUUUCCACAGACUUAAUCUUGAACUAGAUUUAAUUCAAGGGUGGUGGACACUUGAUCUUGAAUCGGACUUGUAAU